CCGUGGCUUCUGGAGUCUUCUAGAUGAUAGAAAAUUGCGCGGCACGUUAAUAUCUCUAUGUAAACCCGACGUGUGGGUCUUUCAUUUAUAUUUCCUGAUAACCCCCUGCAGAAACAGACAAACACCAAAACUCGUGGAAUUAUGUCACAUAAAGCCCUAAGUCUAGGUGUUGGUUGCAUUUGGAUCCUUUUCCAUGAUUAGUUGAUGGUUAAAUGUGAGCAUUAAGGACCGUCAACAAGCUCCCACAAGCUUAACCUUUGCUCGUCCCUGAGCAAGAUGAACUCAAGAAUUUCUGUAGUGGUUUCAAUACAUGCGUUCAAACAAGAUCUCAUCUCUGGGUUAGGGUAAACUGUUAAGAUUUAAAUUUACUCAUUUUUCCUUCCACCAUGGGGCUUGCAACCGUCACUUGUGUCUUGAGUAGUUAAAAGAUAGAACGGUCUAAUCAAGCACCAUGUCUCUUAUUCUUGAUCAGCUAUAGCUCUGGAGUUUUUGCAGAUUUUCAAAUAAAACUCAGAGAUUCCUUGUAUGACUCUCUAUAGUCUCUCAUUUGUGGUAUUUCUGGAUCCUUACCAAGGCAGUAAUGGUGUAUGCCUUCUCUCAGAGUAUGUGGUAUUUUUGGUAUGAGGCAUAGUGACAUUUCCUUCUCUCUCACCCUACUCUAAUAAGGCUUUUGAUAUCUGGAGCUCAUAGGUGGGAGACAGCUAAUACAUACUUACAAGACAUUUAUUGCAUAGUCAAACCAUGGAUCCAGAAGAACAAGUCAAUAAGUCAAAUCAAGAUGUGCAUCUGUGGCGAAUGAAUGGUGUAUGGUGAUGAUGGUGAUAAUGGUGAAAGUCUAAUUCUACUUAUGCUCUUUUGAUGGGAUACAUACCUUUCUUGCUCUUUUGAAACUUUUUGAGGAGAAUGAGAUGCUCUAUAUUUUCUUUUUUUUUCUUUUCUCUCAGAUGGGUAUCUUGUACCCCUAAUUCUACUGUCGGACACUUGUCCAUUUUUACCUCUCGUCUCACUUUUUUUUCUUUCGAGGUUCCGGGCACUUGCCCCUUUUUAUUUCCUCGUAUCUUUUUUUUUCUUUUUUUAGAGCACUCAUCUCAUGAGAUAAUAUAGCAAGUGGUAGUAACAAGAUAACUUGAGCAUUUAUUUCACAGGGGAAAAACAAGAAUAUUUUUGGCUAUUCUCUCCCAGAUCAGGAGUAGAAUAUUUUUGGGUGGUUCUGGCGAUGGAAAUGGUUGGAUAUAUGUGGAUGCGUACUUCCAGAGUAGAAGCAGCAUGUAUGAGUGAACGUGCAAGUGAAUCUUGAUUUAACCACAUGACAAGCUCCUAAGGGUCUACACAGCUUGACCACACUCAAUGCUCAUAAGCAGUAAAAAGUAAAUGUGUGGCUCAAAGUCUAGCAAGCAUGUAUAUAUGGCUGUGGUAGGUAUUUAAACUCUCAUCAUACAGGAACUCAUCAUGCAACAUUUUAAAGAUUUUCAAAGAUUAAAUUCUCCAGAAUUCUAGCAUCUCUAGGAACAGAUAAACAGCAGCUCAACCUUCCCAUAUCGUAUCCGUUAACAACUUAGACUUUAGAUCAAGUACUCUCCCCACAAGUUCAGGUAGAGCAACUACUCAUCAUUUCCAUGUGAGAGCUUAUCAUGAGGGUUCAUAGCAAACUUUAUUUAUUUAUUUAUUUAGCAAACUAAGCAAAGAUAUAUAUAUAUAAGCACAAAAUCUUUAUUUGGGUUUUUAUCUUUUUAUUAUUUGAGUAAAGUAUAAACGCGAGUAGAAACACUUAGCUGGAUAAAUAGGGGUGCUCUCCCCCAUGCUGGAUUUUGACGUAAUUCCAUUUUGUCGGUGUUUUCCCCCCGGGGGGUCACACCAACGAGUAAAUUUGUAUGCAUGCUCCCUUUCCCAGAUGGUGAUGCAAGAAGACACAGAGAUUUAACCUGGUUUGGGCAAGAGAAGGCCCUACGUCCAGCGGGGGGGAGAGAGUUUGUAUAAUCUUGCACCUAAGUGCUUGUACAGGGGUGAAUACAAGCGCGGUAUGAAGUGUGGAGCUCUACUACGUAUGAGCGUGGUGUUUUUUUUUUCUAUUCCUGAGUCCCUCCUUUUAUAGCUCCAAGGAGAGACCCAGGGUACAUGUAUAGGCGUCAGAAUAGGAGUCGAUAGCAGCAUGGAGCGCUGACCUACUCGAGGCUUCCGUACUGGCAUGACCUCGAGCCGUCCCAUCUUAAUAGCCUGGUGAUGAUCACGCGUGCCCCUGCAUUCUGCUCUGCGCGCCGUCUUGGAUUAGUUCGACGGGUGCACGCUUGUACGAUCCGGCGGCAAAUCCGGCGGAGUGGUUGGGAUGUAGUCAGUC
rnacentral:lncRNA from 1 species